rnacentral:ncRNA from 2 species
AUGAACAUAGCAGGAGAGAUUUUUCCCAUGGCAGUACGGAUGGGGAAGGCACCGAAGAAGUAAAUCUUUCAGGUCAAAGGACUGCUAUGGGACG